UUUAAUUCGGCUUGGAGGGAAUGAAAGGCGCGUCAAUUUUACACUAUUAACGGGAGCUUUAUUCCCCCGUCGAAUUCCCGAGGGAGGCAUCUCUCUCUCUCUCUCUCUCUAUUCACUGCUCAAAAUUUGAAUUGACAACCAAACUCCCACCUCCUCCUAUAUAAAACCUCUCUCUCUCUCUCUCACCGUCACAGUCCAAUUUCGCCGUCUUUCCCGCCAAAUUUCUUCCCGAAUCCAUGCCGCCGACCACCAUCGUCCCCACUCUCACGGCCGUCACCAUAUCAUACACGGAGCUCCAAGACAAGAAGACGGACUUGUCGAGGACGAUUGAAGAAGGAUUUGGGCCAAAUGGGUUAGGGAUUCUAUCCGUCACUGAUGUUCCGGGAUUUUCAUCAUUGCGCCGAAAUCUUCUACAUCUGUCACCUAGGUUGGCCAAUCUUCCUGAAGAGGUGAAGAAGGAACUCGAAGAUCCUCAUAGUAGGUAUAAUUUUGGAUGGAGUCAUGGAAAGGAGAAGUUGGAAUCUGGAAAGCCAGAUAUGUUAAAAGGAUCUUUCUACGCAAAUCCUAUAUUAGAUAGACCAACAACAGAUGAGGUUCUAAUUCAAAGGUACCCAUCGUAUUGUGGAUCAAAUAUAUGGCCUAAGCGUGAGUUGCCAGAACUUGAAGUGGCCUUCAAAGCUCUGGGAAAGCUGAUCCUUGAAGUUGGGCUUAUGGUGGCAUUUCACUGUGAUAGAUAUGUAUCAAAAGCAAUUGAAAUGCGUGAGGAUGAAGGCCUUGAACAAGUACUUUUUCAUUCUCGGUGUCAUAAAGGGCGUCUGCUUUAUUACUUUCCCACAAAAGAGAGCACUCCUACUGAAGAUAGCGAAAACAUGUCUUCUUGGUGUGGAUGGCAUACAGACCAUGGUUCACUGACAGGUCUGACCUGUGCCAUGUUCAUGAGAGAUGCUGUUGAGAUACCUUGCCCUGAUAGUGCUGCUGGCCUUUAUAUUAGGACAAGAACUGAUCAGAUUGUCAGAGUUGUCUUUGGAGAAGAUGAAAUAGCAUACCAAAUUGGUGAAACCACAGAAGUUAUGUCCAGAGGCUAUCUUUGUGCAACACCUCAUUGUGUCCGGGUACCUUUUCCGAUCCUACGCACCCAAGGGAGAGGAAGCUUCUGGCCUUGACCGUUCAACAUUUGCUUUCUUUAUGCAACCAGACUGGGAUGAAAAGCUUAAUUUUCCUGAAGAAGUUCAUAUCCAUAAAGAGUUGAUCCCACCAAAUGGUGCUCUCACCUUUGGAGAGUACACAGAGAAGCUCCUCGACAAAUACUACCACCUCAAAACCUAAUCUCUAUGCAAAUUAUACCGCCGAAGAACGCUUACCACAAUACUUAAUAAACCAAGGAUUCAUCAUGACCAUGUACAGUUGCAUUAUUAGUUUCUGUUGGGAUUGCUAGUUCUCCUAUCAUUAUCUUGCUCACUGAAAACUAUCAGGCUACGUGUUUAUUAUAAUGUCUAUAAUUCAGUACAGUCCAGCUUUAGUUG